AUGACUGAAGACAAAUGUGAGUUACUACAUCUCACCACAGCUUUAACUCCCUGCAGAAUUUCAAAUACGUGGUACAGCUCGGAUAUACAGUGUCAAGUACCCUUUGCCGAAGCACUAAGUGAGGGAGUUUAAACAAGCUACCCGGGCAGAGUGGCGCAUGCCUGUGAUCCCAGCACUGGGAAGGCUGAAGCGGGAGUUUGAGGCCAGCCUCAGCUACAAAGCAAGUACUGUCUGAAGAAAUCAAAAACCGUAAAAUUAUAGUACAAAUGUUACUCCUAUGAACAAAACUGCUGAAUGAAGUUCAGUACUGGGUUUUGUUGUGCCCUUAUAAUAAAGAUAGCACACUAGUUCAGAAUUUACUUUCAGUGAAUUUCUUUCCACCCUAGUUUUCAGGGGGUUUGUUUUUUCGUUUGUUUUUUUUUUUUGGUAC
rnacentral:lncRNA from 1 species